UUAAGCGACUAAGCGUACACGGUGGAUGCCCUGGCAGUCAGAGGCGAUGAAGGACGUGCUAAUCUGCGAUAAGCGUCGGUAAGGUGAUAUGAACCGUUAUAACCGGCGAUUUCCGAAUGGGGAAACCCAGUGUGAUUCGUCACACUAUCAUUAACUGAAUCCAUAGGUUAAUGAGGCGAACCGGGGGAACUGAAACAUCUAAGUACCCCGAGGAAAAGAAAUCAACCGAGAUUCCCCCAGUAGCGGCGAGCGAACGGGGAGGAGCCCAGAGCCUGAAUCAGUGUGUGUGUUAGUGGAAGCGUCUGGAAAGGCGCGCGAUACAGGGUGACAGCCCCGUACACAAAAAUGCACAUGCUGUGAGCUCGAUGAGUAGGGCGGGACACGUGGUAUCCUGUCUGAAUAUGGGGGGACCAUCCUCCAAGGCUAAAUACUCCUGACUGACCGAUAGUGAACCAGUACCGUGAGGGAAAGGCGAAAAGAACCCCGGCGAGGGGAGUGAAAAAGAACCUGAAACCGUGUACGUACAAGCAGUGGGAGCCUCUUUAUGGGGUGACUGCGUACCUUUUGUAUAAUGGGUCAGCGACUUAUAUUCUGUAGCAAGGUUAACCGAAUAGGGGAGCCGAAGGGAAACCGAGUCUUAACUGGGCGUUAAGUUGCAGGGUAUAGACCCGAAACCCGGUGAUCUAGCCAUGGGCAGGUUGAAGGUUGGGUAACACUAACUGGAGGACCGAACCGACUAAUGUUGAAAAAUUAGCGGAUGACUUGUGGCUGGGGGUGAAAGGCCAAUCAAACCGGGAGAUAGCUGGUUCUCCCCGAAAGCUAUUUAGGUAGCGCCUCGUGAAUUCAUCUCCGGGGGUAGAGCACUGUUUCGGCAAGGGGGUCAUCCCGACUUACCAACCCGAUGCAAACUGCGAAUACCGGAGAAUGUUAUCACGGGAGACACACGGCGGGUGCUAACGUCCGUCGUGAAGAGGGAAACAACCCAGACCGCCAGCUAAGGUCCCAAAGUCAUGGUUAAGUGGGAAACGAUGUGGGAAGGCCCAGACAGCCAGGAUGUUGGCUUAGAAGCAGCCAUCAUUUAAAGAAAGCGUAAUAGCUCACUGGUCGAGUCGGCCUGCGCGGAAGAUGUAACGGGGCUAAACCAUGCACCGAAGCUGCGGCAGCGACGCUUAUGCGUUGUUGGGUAGGGGAGCGUUCUGUAAGCCUGCGAAGGUGUACUGUGAGGUAUGCUGGAGGUAUCAGAAGUGCGAAUGCUGACAUAAGUAACGAUAAAGCGGGUGAAAAGCCCGCUCGCCGGAAGACCAAGGGUUCCUGUCCAACGUUAAUCGGGGCAGGGUGAGUCGACCCCUAAGGCGAGGCCGAAAGGCGUAGUCGAUGGGAAACAGGUUAAUAUUCCUGUACUUGGUGUUACUGCGAAGGGGGGACGGAGAAGGCUAUGUUGGCCGGGCGACGGUUGUCCCGGUUUAAGCGUGUAGGCUGGUUUUCCAGGUAAAUCCGGAAAAUCAAGGCUGAGGCGUGAUGACGAGGCACUACGGUGCUGAAGCAACAAAUGCCCUGCUUCCAGGAAAAGCCUCUAAGCAUCAGGUAACAUCAAAUCGUACCCCAAACCGACACAGGUGGUCAGGUAGAGAAUACCAAGGCGCUUGAGAGAACUCGGGUGAAGGAACUAGGCAAAAUGGUGCCGUAACUUCGGGAGAAGGCACGCUGAUACGUAGGUGAAGCGACUUGCGGAUGGAGCUGAAAUCAGUCGAAGAUACCAGCUGGCUGCAACUGUUUAUUAAAAACACAGCACUGUGCAAACACGAAAGUGGACGUAUACGGUGUGACGCCUGCCCGGUGCCGGAAGGUUAAUUGAUGGGGUUAGCGGUAACGCGAAGCUCUUGAUCGAAGCCCCGGUAAACGGCGGCCGUAACUAUAACGGUCCUAAGGUAGCGAAAUUCCUUGUCGGGUAAGUUCCGACCUGCACGAAUGGCGUAAUGAUGGCCAGGCUGUCUCCACCCGAGACUCAGUGAAAUUGAACUCGCUGUGAAGAUGCAGUGUACCCGCGGCAAGACGGAAAGACCCCGUGAACCUUUACUAUAGCUUGACACUGAACAUUGAGCCUUGAUGUGUAGGAUAGGUGGGAGGCUUUGAAGUGUGGACGCCAGUCUGCAUGGAGCCGACCUUGAAAUACCACCCUUUAAUGUUUGAUGUUCUAACGUUGGCCCCUAAUCGGGGUUGCGGACAGUGUCUGGUGGGUAGUUUGACUGGGGCGGUCUCCUCCUAAAGAGUAACGGAGGAGCACGAAGGUUGGCUAAUCCUGGUCGGACAUCAGGAGGUUAGUGCAAUGGCAUAAGCCAGCUUGACUGCGAGCGUGACGGCGCGAGCAGGUGCGAAAGCAGGUCAUAGUGAUCCGGUGGUUCUGAAUGGAAGGGCCAUCGCUCAACGGAUAAAAGGUACUCCGGGGAUAACAGGCUGAUACCGCCCAAGAGUUCAUAUCGACGGCGGUGUUUGGCACCUCGAUGUCGGCUCAUCACAUCCUGGGGCUGAAGUAGGUCCCAAGGGUAUGGCUGUUCGCCAUUUAAAGUGGUACGCGAGCUGGGUUUAGAACGUCGUGAGACAGUUCGGUCCCUAUCUGCCGUGGGCGCUGGAGAACUGAGGGGGGCUGCUCCUAGUACGAGAGGACCGGAGUGGACGCAUCACUGGUGUUCGGGUUGUCAUGCCAAUGGCACUGCCCGGUAGCUAAAUGCGGAAGAGAUAAGUGCUGAAAGCAUCUAAGCACGAAACUUGCCCCGAGAUGAGUUCUCCCUGACUCCUUGAGAGUCCUGAAGGAACGUUGAAGACGACGACGUUGAUAGGCCGGGUGUGUAAGCGCAGCGAUGCGUUGAGCUAACCGGUACUAAUGAACCGUGAGGCUUAACCUU
rnacentral:rRNA from 1 species